rnacentral:misc_RNA from 1 species
CUAAAAAAUAGGUUGUUAGUCAUAUCUCCAAGAAAUUAUUUAGGACAUAUCAAUAACAACUAGACUUGUUAAAAGCUAGCACUCCUGAUAGGUCUAAUUGCUCAUGGAAGGAGGCUCAAGUAAAUAUCCAGCUGGAUUGAUUGAAUAAAGCCAUAUAUAGGCACUUACUAACAAGAAUAUAUCCCAGAAAGUAGAAUUCACAGGCAGUCAAACCAACAGUUUAAUUAUUAAUAAAAAUUUCACCACAUGAUGCUUCCAUUAGGACUUUGAAACAUCUGAAUUCAAAGAAAUGUCAGAGAACAAAAGAACUUACAUGCCUGUCAAAUCUACCAGGCCUGGUCAAAGCUGGAUCAAGAAUAUCAGGCAAGUUUGUUGCAGCCAUCAAUAUUAUUCCCUGCAAGUAAAAAUUGCACAAAAUUCAGAAAAGUACCAAGAAAAUUCAUUUAUGCAGCAAACUUCAGAAAUGCUAAGCUUGUUAUCAUGUACCUCAUUUUGUUCAAAACCAUCCAUUUCAACUAAUAGUUGGUGCAAAGUUUUCUUUGUAUGGCCUUCCCAUUGUUUUCGUGUAGA